UGCGCAGGCGGUUAUGUAAGACAGAUGUGAAAUGCCCGGGCUUAACCUGGGAACUGCAUUUGUGACUGCAUGGCUAGAAUCUAGCAGAGGGGGGUAGAAUUCCACGUGUAGCAGUGAAAUGCGUAGAUAUGUGGAGGAAUACCGAUGGCGAAGGCAGCCCCCUGGGCUAAGAUUGACGCUCAUGCACGAAAGCGUGGGGAGCAAACAGGAUUAGAUACCCUGGUAGUCCACGCCCUAAACGAUGUCUACUAGUUGUCGGGUCUUAAUUGACUUGGUAACGCAGCUAACGCGUGAAGUAGACCGCCUGGGGAGUACGGUCGCAAGAUUAAA
rnacentral:rRNA from 1 species